CGCUUGAAGUUUCCCCUCCGAGGAGUAUGCUAAUCCCCUAUUUAGCAGGUUGGAGCUUAGUGAGAACUCCCACCGACAGCUUCCACUUGGGACGGCGUAGGUGAUCAGACGAAGCACAAGCGGAUGAGCGGCGGGUGACCGUAUAUAAACAGGCAACUCUGACCCGCAAAGCCUGCAGCAACCAGACCAAAACGUCUGGAGCCCUCCAGAGCGGGACGUUAGCCUGUGAGUCUAUAACCCUCACGUGCCCACACCCUGUCCCCCACCAGGGUCUGGAAUCAGAUCCCCCCAGGGCCCUGCAAUAGCGCCAAGGAACUAGCUCCAGGGCAGAAGCGUCUCAGCUGAUGGGAAAAGAAGGCCUCCGCCCACACUGCGCCUGCAGCCCUCCGGCCACAGAGAGCUGGGAAGCUGCCCUGCCUGACGCAGCCUGUGGAGAGGCCACGUGAGGGAGCCUGGAAGCAGACCGUUUCUCAGCUGUGCGUGAGAGGACAGCAGCCCUGACCAGCACCUUGGCUGCAGCCUUGUGAGAGCCCUGGAACCAGAACGACCCAGCUCAGCCACUCCUGGACAACCCACAGCAACUGGGACACGAGUUCGAGCCCUGGUCCGGGAAGAUCCCACAUGCUGCGGAGCAACUAAGCCCAUGCACCACAACUACUGAGCCUGCACUCUAGAGCCCACGAGCCACAACUACUGAGCCCACGAGCCUAGAGCCCAUGCUCCGCAACAAGAGAAGCCACCUCAGUGAGAAGCCCACACACCACAGCGAAGAGUAGCCCCUGCUCACCUCAACUAGAGAAAACACGCAUGCAGCAUGGAAGAGCCAACACAGCCAAAAACAAAAAUAAAUAAAUUUAUAAGAAAAAAUUUAAAGAAACCCACUUUAAAUAUAAAGUUAAAUAUAGAUUAAAAGUAAGCGGAUGGAGAAACAUAUACCAUGCUAACACUACUCAAAAGAAAGCAGGAGUAGCUAUAUUAAUGUCAGAUAGAGCAGUCUUUGAAGCAAGGAAAAUUAUCAAGGAUAAAGAAGGGCAUUGCAUAAUGUUAAAGGUGUCAGUUCUCCAAGAAGGCAUAACAAUGCUUAACAUGUAUGUGCCUGACAACAGAACAUCAAAGUACAUGAGGCAAAAACUGAUAGAACUGCAAGGAGAAAUAGACAAAUCCACCGUCAUAGUUGAAUAUUUCAGCACCCUGCAUCAGAAAUCCAGCAGGCAGAAAAUCAGUAAGGACACAGUUGAACUCAACACCACCUCCAAUCAACUGGAUAUAACUGACAUCUCCAGACUAUUUCAUCCAACAACAGCCAAAUACACAUUGUUUUCAAGCUCACAUGGAACAUUCACCAAGAUAAAUCAUAUUCUGGGCUAUAAAAUAUACAUUAACACAUUUAAAAGCAUAGAAAUCAUAUAAUAUAGGCUUUCAGGUGACAAUAGAAUUAAAAUAGAAAUUCAUACUACAAAGAUGGCCAGAAAAUCCCCAAAUACUUAUAGAUUAAACAACACACUUCUAAGUAUCACAUGGGUCAAAGAAGAGAUUGUAAGAGAAAUUUUAAAAUACCUUGAAAUAAUAAAAAUGAAAAUACAACUUAUCAAAAUGUGUGGUAUGAAGCAAAAGCAGUGUUUAGAGGGAUAUUUAUAGGAUUUAAUGCAUAUAUUAGAAAAGAAGAAAGAUCUAAAAUAAAUCAUCUAAAAAUAAAUAAAUAAAUAAGGGCUUCCCUGGUGGCGCAGUGGUUGCGCGUCCGCCUGCCGAUGCAGGGGAACCGGGUUCGCGCCCCGGUCUGGGAGGAUCCCACAUGUCGCGGAGCGGCUGGGCCCGUGAGCCGUGGCCGCUGAUCCUGCGCGUCCGGAGCCUGUGCUCCGCAACGGGAGAGGCCGCAACAAAGGGAGGCCCACAUACCACAAAAAAAUAAAUAAAUAAAAUAAAAUAAAAUAAAAUAAAUCAUCUAAGCUUUCACCUUAGAGAACUAGAAAAAGAAUAAAAAAUCAUAUUCGAAGUAAGUAAGAAAAAAAUCAUAAAAAUUAAAGCAGAAGUCAAUGAAAUUGAAGGCAGGAAAUCAACAGAGAAAAUCAACAAAACCAAAAGCUGGUUCUUUGGAAGAUAUUAAUAAAACUGACAAGCCUCUAACCAGGCUAACUAAGAAAAAGAGAGAAGACACCAAUUACUUUAAUAGAAAUGAAAGAGGACUUCACUACAGGUCUUUGUGCUACGUUUGUUCUUUUUUUCUAGUUCCUUGAGGUGUAAAGUUAGGUUACUUGAGAUUUUUGUUUCCUGAGGUAGGAAUUUAUUGCUGUGAACUUCUCUCCUAGAACUGCUUUUGCUGCAUUCUGUAAGUUUUUUUCCCUUUUUGUUUGUCUCCAAAAAUGUAGGGGACUUUUAACACCCCUACUAAUAUUGUAUUGCUAUCUAUUUCUCCCUUAAGGUCUGUUAGUAUUUGCUUUAUAUAUUUUAGUGCUCCUAUGUUAGGUGCCUGUGUAUGAAUAACUGUUAUGUUUUCUUGACGAAUUGUUCCAUUUGUCAUUAUAUACUGUCCACCUUUGUCUCUUGUUACCUUUUUUGGUUGAAAUCUAUUUUGUCUGAUAUGAGUACGGCUACACAUGCUUUAUUUUGGCUGCUGCUUGCUCAGAGUAUCAUCUUCCGUCCCUUCUCUUUGAGCCUAUAUUUGUCUUUAGAGCUGAGAUCAGUCUUCCAGAGGCAGUAUAUAGUUGGAAUUUGUGUUUUAAUCUGUCCUACCACUCUGUGUCUUUUGACUAGUGAAUUCAAUCCAUUUAUAUUUAGGGUGAUUAUUGAUAAGCAAGGGCUUAGUACUUCCAUUUAAUCUUUUGUUUUCUGGUUGCUCCAUAUCUCCAUUGUUUCUUUUUCUUUUUCUUUUCUUUUCUAUUUAUUUUGACUGCACUGGGUCUUCAUUGCAGCAUACAGGAUCCUUAGUUGCAGCAUGUAGGCUCAUAGUUGCAGCAUGCAGACUUCUUAGUUGUGGUAUGCAUGUGGGAUCUAGUUCCCCGACUAGGGACUGAACCCAGGCCCCCUGCAUUGGGAGUGCGGAGUCUUACCCACUGGACCACGAGGUAAGUCCCACCAUUGUUUCUUUUUCUUGUGUUUCUGCCUGCCAUUUUGUUUUGGUGGUUUUCUAUAAUAUUUUUCUCAGUUUCCUCUUUUGUAUAUUUUGUGUCUAUGCUCUAGAUUUAUGUUUUGUGGUUAACAUGAGGUUUGUAUAAAAUAUCUCAUAGAUAAAAUUGUCCGUUUUUCUUGCUAACAGCAUCUUAUCUUCAUUUGCCUAUACAGAUUCCAUCCUUUUCCUCUUUCCCUUUUGUGUUUUUGUUUCCCCAAAUUAUCCCUUUUUAUGUUGUGAGUUUAUUACCAAAUUGAAAUAGGUAUAGUUAUUUUAUUCCUGCCUUUUCCCUCUUUAAUUUUUAUGCUGUAAUAAAGUGUUUUAAAACCUAUUCUAAUAAAGGGUUGCAAUUUUCUGUUUCUAUUUAUCACCUUGCUCAGAGGUUUGUAUAUUUUGGCCAUUUUGUUUCUGGUAAAAGAGCUCCUUUCAACAUUUUGUAAGGCAGGUUAGUGUCGAUGAAUUCCCUCAGCUUUUUUCUGGGAAAGUCUUUAUAUCUGGAUGAUAACUUUGCUGGAUAGAGUAUUCUUGUGUGACAAUUUUUAUCUUUUAGUAUUUUGGGAAUGUCAUUCCACUCCCUCCUGGCCUAUAUGGUUUCUGAUGAGAAAUCUGCUCAUAGACUAAUGGGGGUUCCUUUGUAAGUUACCAUCCUUUUUUCCCUUGCUGCCUUUAAAAUUCUUUCUUUGUCAUUGACUUUUGACAGUUUUAAUAUGAUGCGUCUUGAAACAGGUCUGUUUGCAUUGAGAUAAUUGGUUUUUCUCUUAGCUUUAUGGGCUUGUAUAUCAGUUCCUUCCUCAGAUUUGGGAAGUUCUCAGCUGUAAUUU